UACGGGGGGGGGCAAGCGUUGUUCGGAAUUACUGGGCGUAAAGGGCGCGUAGGCGGUUCGCUAAGUUGGAUGUGAAAACUCUGGGCUUAACCCAGAGCCUGCAUCCAAAACUGGCGAACUGGAGUACUGGAGGGGAAAGCGGAAUUCCUGGUGUAGCGGUGAAAUGCGUAGAUAUCAGGAGGAACACCGGUGGCGAAGGCGGCUUUCUGGACAGUAACUGACGCUGAGGCGCGAAAGCUAGGGGAGCAAACAGG
rnacentral:rRNA from 1 species